UACGUAGGGGGCUAGCGUUGUCCGGAAUCAUUGGGCGUAAAGAGCGUGUAGGCGGUCCGGUAAGUCCGUUGUGAAAGUCAGGGGCUCAACCCUUGAAUGCCGGCGGAUACUGUCGGGCUAGAGUCCGGAAGAGGCGAGUGGAAUUCCCGGUGUAGCGGUGAAAUGCGCAGAUAUCGGGAGGAACACCAAUGGCGAAGGCAGCUCGCUGGGACGGUACUGACGCUGAGACGCGAAAGCGUGGGGAGCAAACAGG
rnacentral:rRNA from 1 species